UCCCAGGUGUCUCAGAUGGUAAAGAAUCUGCCUGCCAAUGCAGGAGUCCCAAGUUCAAUCCUUGGGUUGGGAA
rnacentral:tRNA from 1 species